rnacentral:rRNA from 1 species
UACGAAGGGUGCAAACGUUGCUCGGAAUUACUGGGCGUAAAGCGUGCGCAGGCGGUUUGUUAAGUCCGCUGUGAAAUCCCCGAGCUCAACUUGGGAAUUGCAGUGGAUACUGGCAAGCUGGAGUAUGGUAGAGGAAGGUGGAAUUCCCGGUGUAGCAGUGAAAUGCGUAGAGAUCGGGAGGAACACCAGUGGCGAAGGCGGCCUUCUGGACCAAUACUGACGCUCAUGCACGAAAGCGUGGGGAGCAAACAGG